UUGUGUUUGGUAAAUAUUAGUUUUAAAACUGUUGUCAAAACAUUAAAAAUCAUUAACUCAACGAAAAGAUUGCAUUUUUAUCUUAAAUCUCUUACAUUUUACAGUGACACAGAGAGGGAGAGAGUUCAAUAUUGAAAGUCAUUAACUCAAUGAAAAAAUUACACUUUUAUUUUGAAUCUCUUACAUUUUACAAUGACACAUAGAGGGAGAGAGUUCAACAUUGAAAGUCAUUAACUCAACAAAAAGAUUGCAUUUUUAUCUUGAUCUCUUACAUUUUACAGUGACACAGAGAGGGAGAGAGUUCAACAUUGAAAGUCAUCAACUCAACAAAAAGAUUGCAUUUUUAUCUUGAAUCUCUUACAUUUUACAGUGACACAGAGAGGGAUAGAAUUCAACAUUAAAAAUCAUUAAUUCAACAAAAAAUUACAUCUUUAUCUUGAAUCUCUUACAUUUUACAGUGACACAGAGAACUCAAUAGUAAAAAGAGAGAAAUUAGCUUACCUGGGUUGUGUUGUUGUGCUUGUGUGUGUGUGUGAGAGAGAGAGAGAGAGGGGGACAGAGUCACCGAGUACAACCCUAAACCCUCUAUAUAAUUCUUUCUUCUAAUUUUUUUUUUUUUUGGCCAACUUAUGCUUCUUCAUUAUUAGCGCGCUAAUCAAACUUGAUUAACAAAGCUUGGAGAUCGCCAUUUGGCACUCAAACCUGUGAACCUCCAGCCAAUAAGGACUGUGAGUGUAGGGCUUUUUGGGUAUUGCAUAAUAUGAAACAAUAGUCAAAGGAUUUAAAAGCCUCAAGCGUCGUUGGCAAUCUGUACACUAUAAUUAUAAAAGGAGACAAGUAUAUUGACUAUAUGUAAAGUAAAGUAACUUUCAUGUUGUUUCUAAAAGCUGUUGCUAGUGAUAUGUAAUUUAAAAAAAAAAAAAAAAAUCUUUCAUUUACCAAACACUAUAAAAUCUAAAAGUUCGGAUAAAAACUGAUUUUUUAAAAAGCGAAAUUAUACCAAACUAGACCUUACUUUGCAUAUAGUCAAUAUACUUGUCUCCUUUUAUAAUUAUAGUGUACAAAUUGCCAACGUCGCUUGGGGCUUUUAAAUCCUUUGACUAUUGUUUCAUAUUAUGCAAUACCCAAAAAGCCCUACACUCAUAGUCCUUAUUGGCUGGAGGUUCAUAGGUUUGAGUGCCAAAUGGUGAUUUCCAAGCUUUGUUAAUCAAGUUUGAUUAGCGCGCUAAUAAUGAAUAAGUAGAAGUUGGACCAAAAAAAAAUUAAGAAGAAAGAAUUAUAUAGAGGGUUUAGGGGUU
rnacentral:lncRNA from 1 species